rnacentral:lncRNA from 10 species
AGUUCUUUCAGCUUAAUAAAAACCCUAAUUGAGGAGUCUCUAGCUGCUUGCUCACACCUGCUUUUACUCUAACCUGGACAACUCACAGUCAAGACCUUCCGUCCGGUAACAAAGCAACAGACCUCAGUCAUGUCAUCUGCUUACAAAGGAGCCACGAAUCAAGACCGAUUCCGUGUGCUCUUGACGAUUCUGUUACACUCCUGCAGGGUAUCGCUCUGCCUCCCAGGCUGGAGUGCAGUGGCACAAUCACAGCUCACUGCAGCCUCGACCUUCUCGGCUCAAGCAAUCCUCCUACCUCAGCCUCCUGAGUAGCUGGGAUUGCAGGCAUUCAUCACCACACCCAGCACCAGGCCCAGAGGCCUACCUGCAGAACCAGGAGCCUUCCCAGAGAUGCCUGUUGAUGGAUGGCUACACUGAGAACCUGAAAUAGCGUGCAAAUAACUCUCUUCUCUGUACUUGAAGCCAAAUCGCAUUCCCAGGCAGACAUAUCCAGCGGGGAAAGAAGAAACAAGAAAAUGAAUGAUCCACUUGCACAAGAAUCUCUCCUAUGAGCAAGUGUUAGAAAUCCAUUGCUUGCUAAUGUUUGUUUGUUUGUUUUUGGAGCUGGUGUCUGGAGCUGGUUCUCCACCUGUUGUGAGUUCCUGGAAAGAUCUCAAGACCUAUCCCAUUUUCCUCCUAGUGAAGGUUGAUAUUCAUAAUAGUUGACACUCAGUACAGCACAGACACCGACCAAUUCAAACUGACAGAGGUCUUAAGCAAUUUUCAUGACAAUAUUGGUGUAUAGAGCUGAAUAUUUGUUCUACACAUAGAAGGCAUCCAAUAAAAAAUUUUGAAUUGAAUUUUAUUGGUUUAGUAGUCCUGGCUGUGGUAUCUAAUGGCCUUCUUUCAGAAGUCAGGCAGCUUUUAAUUUUUUUGUCCAAAUAUGAUCAUAAUGAUUUCUUUUCCU